GACGAACGCUGGCGGCGUGCCUAAUACAUGCAAGUAGAACGCAGUUGCGAACGGGUGAGUAAUGCGUAGGUAACUGCCCCAUAGCGGGGGAUAACUAUUGGAAACGAUAUCUAAUACCGCAUACUGUGUGAUGGACCUGCGUUGUAUUAGCUAGUUGGUGAGGUAAAGGGUCACCACGGCGACGAUACAUAGCCGGCCUGAGAGGGUGAUCGGCCAAACUGGGACUGAGACACGGACCAGACUCCUACGGGAGGCAGCAGUGGGGAAGAUGGCACAAUGGGCGCAAGCCUGAUGGAGCCAUGCCGCGUGUAUGAAGAAGGCCUUCGGGUUGUAAAGUACUUACAGCGAGGAGCGUUACUCGCAGAAGAAGCACCGGCUAACUCCGUGCCAGCAGCCGCGGUAAUAC
rnacentral:rRNA from 1 species